rnacentral:lncRNA from 1 species
AAAUAAUGCAGUCUGUCAGAAGCAAAUUCUAUUGUAAAAGCAGUAACUGUUCCCAGGCUUUGCCUGUGAUGCCCGCACGCUGCUCUGCCCGGGAAGGACUGGGCUAGCAAUGAAUUACUGCUCAUUUCAAUCUGCCUUUCACAGAAACGUCUAACUUUUUUGUUUACACUGGACCCAGAUCCCAUAAAUAUGGAGUAUCUGUUGCGGCCGCUCCACGUCUGCCCAGCUGAACUCCAUGAUUUUGACUAGAGGUGACAGCUGAAAAGCACCAGAAACCCUUGGAAUUUCAGAUCUAUAUAUUACUAUAAAGGAAGAAAAUAAAGUUCCGCUAGUAGAAGACCUUGGAAGGGUGUGUGUCCUGAACAAUUUCCAUUGUGGAGAAACGCAACAAAUAACAAAGUGCAGUCAAAGCUAGCCCUGCUCCGUGAUGAAUUUCAAGGAGCGUGACCAAUAAUCUUCUACUUAUCUUAAAAACCCUAUGGAAGUACUAGACCAGUUCCAACAGAAGUGAGAGCAAACUGUGGGAAAAAAAAAAACCCUCACAAAAAAGCCAUCUGUCUGAGAACAACCCGAGAAUCCUAAGUCCACCCAAGUAGUCACUGCGUGUUUUUCUGCACUGCUAAUGGAUUGCAUAUUGUUGAAAAUAUGAAUUACAGAAUAAAUCAGGAGAGAGUGACAAUUACGGGUCCGAUUCUGUUCUUGGCUGCGGUGGCAUUAUUGACCUAAUGUUGUUUUCUGCUAUUGUGGGGCACAUUGGAUAAUUAUCCAAUUUAAGAACAACUCCAGACCGAAGGAGUAAAUGGGAGCUGUCUGAAGGCAGGGACUGCCAGAGGAGCCAGGCUGACAGUCGGUGAGGUUCAGACCACUGUAGGCUGUGGAUUUUCCCAAAGCUUUAUACGCUGCUAUUAACUCUGCCACAUAUACUCCAUGGUAUGAAAUACAUGUCUUAAAUAUACCUUUAAAAAUGUCUUGUGCUGGGGACAUGCCAAACAUCACACGCUCCCUUUAGGGGACACAUGAAAAGUUACAAACCGUGAGCCCUGUUGCAGAGCUGCUGCCUCCCAGAUUCCUAUUUGAAGUGAGGAAGAGUUUUGGCUGAAGACGGAGAGCAGGAUAAGAGGGCCCUGCAAUGUAAGGAUUAGAAAGGAAUCAGGAAUUUUGCUAUGAUUACUGCGCCAGAAAAAAAAAAAGAGAUAUGUAUGUAUAAUAUCAGAUAACAUCCUCCUGCAUGUGAAAGGAAAGCCACUAAUUCAGCAGCGUUCUUAUUUUCAAAUGAAUUCCAACAGUGAGACAAGCGAGCAGCUUUGUGAAGAGGGACAGUCAUUAAUAUGCCUGACGGGGGCUUUUUUCCCGUUCCUACCAAACGGGAUGUAACGUAAUUCCACAUUAAAACCGGGAAGCGGUUCUGCAUGUUUUCUAAUUAUCCUUGCUGUGGUCGAUGCUUCAUAAAGGAAGAAUAGAAAAGGAAAAAAUAAAAGGGUCUGCGUGGACGUGAAACUUUGUUCAUCGCUUGCAUGCUAAACAGUGCAGGUUUAACCUCCUGCACAUUGCAAAAAAAGACAUGUGGCAUUGCUUCUCCUUGCAUGGAAGCCCUGGGCUGGCCCGGCGGUGGAUCGGGGCAGGAUUGGGCCCAGCAGCACUGCCAGAGCUCUGCGGGUGUAUCCGAGAGCAGCAAUUCGGGUCUGCCCCAGCAUCAGCGCAGCGCAUCGCUGCGGCAGCGUUCCCCGCUGACUGCGGGGCUGUUUGAUGAGUAAUUAGGAGACCUUCUCUUUAGUUUGUUUGACAUAUUUUACAAAACAUGUAAAUCUGUUAAAAAAAUUGCUUGUUCAUUGAAAAGACUUAGCUCCUAAAUGAAGCAGGGUAUCCGCUAAGUGGGGAUAAUUUUAGGAUUUAUUAUUAUUUUUUUUUUCAUUACGACUUCAAACACAAUGGGCUCUCUUUCACUUGAAAAGGAUUUUUUGUUGUUGUUGUUUCUUUUGAGAAGCAAUUAUUCUGUUUCUGCGUCUGUGUAGCUUCACCCGGAGCUCAUACAGAGAAAAUCACUGUAAUGCUCAGAGAUAAACAUAUCUAGACUUACAGAUAUCCAUGUGCCUACUGAAGUUUGUUUGUAUUUUACACCCACAUGUCACAGUCGGUGUAAUUAACUACUUACUGGAAAGCAGCAAACAGAGCCCCUGUCUGCUGCCGGACCGGAGGGGGUCAUUUUUGCUCUCUGCCUUUUAGACAUCUUUAGCAAAGAAAUCUCCCCCUAAAACUGCAAAAUACCCCUCAAAUAUCCCAGCACCCAUACUGCUUCAUUUGUGAAAUAUGCUUUGAAGAUCGUCUGAUGAUACGCUUUAAUGAUUCAGCUUCCCCAACUAUUGCAGCUUUGUGUAGUCAAAGAAUUUAAUUUUACUUAGUUUAAAACCACUUGGUGAUGUGAACUGAUCAGAGUUUCCCUUCCUUCAGCUGUUUGGCAGUGACAAAAUGAAGGGACACUGCUAAGCACCCACGACUGCAGUCCAACUUGCUGCUUGAUGCACUCAAAUCUGUAGGCGUCAAUUGUUAUUACUAUUAUUAUUAUUAUUAUUCAAUCAGAAAUGCAAACUGAGGUAUUUAAAGCAAGGCACUGGCCCUGUGGUUAAAGUUGCCUCAAAA